rnacentral:rRNA from 1 species
CGGGGCUUAAAGUCUUGUAAUUGGAAUGAUGGGAAUUUAAACCUCUUCCAGAGUAUCAAUUGGAGGGCAAGUCUGGUGCCAGCAGCCGCGGUAAUUCCAGCUCCAAUAGCGUAUAUUAAAAUUGUUGCAGUUAAAAAGCUCGUAGUUGAAUUUCUGCUGCAUUGCUUGUGUCCCUCUGGGGUCUGUGCAUGUGGCUUUUUUCGGACGGAGUUUCUUUGUCUGAAUGUUUACUUUGAGAAAAUUAGAGUGCUCAAAGCAGGCUUUCGCCUUGAAUAGUUUAGCAUGGAAUAAUAAAGUAGGACUUUGGUUCUAUUUUGUUGGUUUUAGGUACCAAAGUAAUGGUUAAUAGGAACAGUUGGGGGCAUUCGUAUUUAACUGUCAGAGGUGAAAUUCUUAGAUUCGUUAAAGACGAACUACUGCGAAAGCAUUUGCCAAGGAUGUUUUCAUUAAUCAAGAAC